rnacentral:rRNA from 1 species
AUUUUCUGCCACCGAAUACAUUAGCAUGGGAUAAUGGAAUAGGACCCUGUCCUCCUAUUUUCAGUUGGUUUUGGCAGCGCGAGGACUAGGGUAAUGAUUAAUAGGGAUAGUUGGGGGCAUUAAUAUUUAAUUGUCAGAGGUGAAAUUCUUGGAUUUAUGAAAGAUUAACUUCUGCGAAAGCAUCUGCCAAGGAUGUUUUCAUUAAUCAAGAACGAAAGUUAGGGGAUCGAAGACGAUCAGAUACCGUCGUAGUCUUAACCAUAAACGAUGCCGACCAGCGAUUAGGAGACGUUGAAUACAAAACACCACCAUCGGCGCGGUCGUCCUUGGCGCGUUCGUGUUCACGCACGGGCGCGCGAGGGCGGUUUAGCCCGGUGGCACCGGUGAAUGACUCCCCUAGC